rnacentral:rRNA from 1 species
UACGAAGGGGGCUAGCGUUGCUCGGAAUCACUGGGCGUAAAGGGUGCGUAGGCGGGUCUUUAAGUCAGGGGUGAAAUCCUGGAGCUCAAUUCCAGAACUGCCUUUGAUACUGAGGAUCUUGAGUUCGGGAGAGGUGAGUGGAACUGCGAGUGUAGAGGUGAAAUUCGUAGAUAUUCGCAAGAACACCAGUGGCGAAGGCGGCUCACUGGCCCGAUACUGACGCUGAUGCACGAAAGCGUGGGGAGCAAACAGG